UAAACGGUCCUUUUCAGGACCACAAACAACCAAUAACCACAUUCA
rfam:Acyrthosiphon pisum strain LSR1 Contig23038, whole genome shotgun sequence.